rnacentral:rRNA from 1 species
UACGGAGGGUGCAAGCGUUGCUCGGAUUUAUUGGGCGUAAAGCGCGUGUAGGCGGUUUCUUAAGUCUGAUGUGAAAGCCCUGGGCUCAACCCAGGAAGUGCAUUGGAUACUGGGAAACUUGAAUACGGGAGAGGGUAGUGGAAUUCCUAGUGUAGGAGUGAAAUCCGUAGAUAUUAGGAGGAACACCGGUGGCGAAGGCGGCUACCUGGACCGAUAUUGACGCUGAGACGCGAAAGCGUGGGGAGCAAACAGG